CACUCCUGCGGGAGGCAGCAGUGGGGAAUUUUGGACAAUGGGCGAAAGCCUGAUCCAGCCAUGCCGCGUGCAGGAUGAAGGCCUUCGGGUUGUAAACUGCUUUUGUACGGAACGAAACGGCCUUUUCUAAUAAAGAGGGCUAAUGACGGUACCGUAAGAAUAAGCACCGGCUAACUACGUGCCAGCAGCCGCGGUAAUACGUAGGGUGCAAGCGUUAAUCGGAAUUACUGGGCGUAAAGCGUGCGCAGGCGGUUAUGUAAGACAGUUGUGAAAUCCCCGGGCUCAACCUGGGAACUGCAUCUGUGACUGCAUAGCUAGAGUACGGUAGAGGGGGAUGGAAUUCCGCGUGUAGCAGUGAAAUGCGUAGAUAUGCGGAGGAACACCGAUGGCGAAGGCAAUCCCCUGGACCUGUACUGACGCUCAUGCACGAAAGCGUGGGGAGCAAACAGGAUUAGAUACCCUUGUAGUCCCA
rnacentral:rRNA from 1 species